rfam:Triticum urartu cultivar G1812 contig908966, whole genome shotgun sequence.
CCAACGGUUCUACUUGGAACCAACACUAAUUAAACACAAAAAACA